AUUGAACGCUGGCGGCAUGCCUUACACAUGCAAGUCGAACGGCAGCACGGGAGCAAUCCUGGUGGCGAGUGGCGAACGGGUGAGUAAUAUAUCGGAACGUGCCCGGUCGUGGGGGAUAACGUAGCGAAAGCUACGCUAAUACCGCAUACGAUCUACGGAUGAAAGCGGGGGAUCGCAAGACCUCGCGCGAUUGGAGCGGCCGAUAUCAGAUUAGGUAGUUGGUGAGGUAAAGGCUCACCAAGCCGACGAUCUGUAGCUGGUCUGAGAGGACGACCAGCCACACUGGGACUGAGACACGGCCCAGACUCCUACGGGAGGCAGCAGUGGGGAAUUUUGGACAAUGGGCGCAAGCCUGAUCCAGCAAUGCCGCGUGCAGGAUGAAGGCCUCGGUUGUAACGU
rnacentral:rRNA from 1 species